rnacentral:lncRNA from 1 species
GAGCUCAAAGGAAUUCUUCCAUUUGACGCCAUGAACAAAGCAUGCCAACAAAUCACGUCUCAAUCUGAGCUGAUACCAGUGUGAUGGGAGAAUUAUCCCAUGGUCUAAUAAGAAGAUUCAACUUAAUAAUCCGUUAAUCAACCUUGUAAUCAGAACAGCGACCCUCACGUUACAAGCUCCACAAACGUAGUUAGCUGUGGAAAUCAAGCUCUCACGAAUCACGAAGCUAAAUAUAUAUAUGCACGAAAGAACACGGGCUAGUGGCCAACGNCGACAUCACCAGCGGCAGCGGCAGCGGGGGCCUCUGAACGAGCGCUUCUUGCAGAGACGACGACACUGUUCCCACUGAGCCGGUAACCUCCGGCGCCGCGGUAUCUCCGGCGGGCAGUACUCCUUCGCCAUCCGCCGGCACCAUUCUGGCUCGCACGAGGGGCGAGGGUGACGCCGCGGCCAGGACCAGAAACAAGAAGACGAUCGCAACCGCCCUCGAGGAAGCCAUGGCUAGCUGACAAAAAGUCCGUGGAAGUGCCGGUCGUCGAUCGAGUUUAUGUGUGUGUGGGUUUUGCGAGGAGAAUGGGAGCAAACCCUGGAGCGUAUUUAUAGGCAGAGGAGAGCAAUUUGGAGAUCAUAAAGCCCUGUGAAAUUGCCGCUCCAAGGUGCCAACAUGCACAUCGCUCUCACGC